GUGUUUGUUUGUGUGUGUAUUUUCACUUGGAUGCCAUGGGACUGUGUUUACAGCUAGCUAGGAUAGAUAGCCUCAGCAAAAAAAGUGAUUUGUUUUGACAGAUUUUCAAAUGGUAAAAAGCUUAGUUGGGUAAAAGCUAAGAAGUAUAAAUUAAACCUUGUACACACAUGCAUUGAAGCUAGCUAAAUACAGUUUCAUUUUGAAGCUUGAUACAUCAAAUGCACACUACAGCCACGCUUGAGUUCUGGCUUCUUUACUGUGAGAUUACUCUGGUCCCGGUGAAUGCCCGGAGCGCUACAGCUAUUCGUUAACACAUAAAGCUUAGUUCCAUGCAUGCAUGUCUGACCAAGAACCACUGCCGUUUUCGACUGUACUUGUCAUAGCGUACAUUGCACUAUUAUUGUAUAGAUGCAGUAAGCGGUCAAUAUAAGUUUCGUUUAUGUAGUACGCCAGUACGUUUACACUGUAUUAAAAGCGUUGCAAUUCACCGUUACACGUUGCAAGUAUACGUUUUGCAAAAAAACAAACAAAGAGACAAUCCUAGUCACCUCGAGUAUCGUAGCUAGACUAGUUACUUAGCUAUAUGCUGUACAUACUUGAUGCUAUGUUUCAAUAUAAUUAUAUUGUACAUUGUACAUUUAUAAUUAUUGUACAUACUAGAUCUACUGCUUUUCACGUGUACAUUAUAGUUGUGAGACGCCAACUGCCCAGAGGGAAACCACACCAUUCGCAAAAAUACGCCUAAUUCCCUCUCACAUCUAAAGUUCUUUUAAAAUGGUGGUCGUACUUUUUUGAAGGUACUAUAAUUAUUGUUGUAAGAAUUGAUGUGAAAAAACAUAUUGCAGGAUGAUGUUGAAAGUGACACGUGUUGGAGAGAGCAUUAUACUGGACACCCUUGUAUGACCACACCACUGUAAAGUAUCGACACAAUUGGAGGUGAUGCUGAGAAGUCAAAGGCAGUAUCUUACAAUUGCAGUGAACUGAGUGCAGACUUGCUAUGGUUAAAAAACUUUUCACUUUUAUAUCCUCAUCGUUUGUUUAAUACAAUUUUAAUACUGUAUUGAUGUAUUGUUGUUUUCUGAUGUUUGAAAUUGAUUUAGCACAAUACAAUCAGCACAACUGUUUCAGCACAUUAGAAUUCAGCACAUGUGCCGGUUUAGCACAUCAGGUUGUUUAGCACAUGUGCAAACGUGCUAAAACUGGAGACAUUUGUUUAGCACGGUUUUCUGUGGCUACCAUAUAGUCAUAGUCAUCAGCUUUCCUAGCAUUGCUCAGUACUGCCCAUUGAUUAAUAGAGUUUGUUGUCCGGCCUGUAACUACAGUUUCAAGAUUUUUUGAAUAAGUCGACGUUGCAGUAAUUUGUGAAGAUGGACAGAAAUGGAACUUGUGUUGACCUAGAGCUAGGUGGGAACAGCACAACAUACUGACAUGUAGACACUUUGAUCGCAUACGUAAGUGUUAGUUUUACUAUGUUUUCAAGGACGCAUAGGUUUAUUUUGCUCAUUAUUUAACAUUAUUUUGUCAUAAUUAUAAUUAUACUGCCAAAUAAAAAUGUUUUAUCUGUACAAGAACUAGCUGAGAUGAUAGCCUUCCACCGAUUAUAAUAAUUGU